AAUUUUGGACAAUGGGGGAAACCAUGAUCCAGCAAUCCCGCUUGAAUGAUGAAGGCGUUCGGGUUGUAAAGUACUUCAAGUUGGAAGGAAGGGCUGUAAGUUAAUACAUUGCUGUUUUGACGUUAUCGACAAAAUAAGUACCGACUAACUUCGUGUCAGGAGCAGCGGUUAUACGAAGGGUGCAAGCGUUAAUCGGAAUUACUGGGCGUAAAGCGCGCGUAGGUGGUUUGUUAAGUUGGAAGUGAAAUCCCCGGUCUCAACCUGGGAACUUCUUUCAAAACUGGCAAGCUAGAGUAUGGCAGAGGGUGGUGGAAUUUCCUGUGUAGCGGUGAAAUGCGUAGAUAUAGGAAGGAACACCAGUGGCGAAGGCGACUACCUGGACUGAUACUGACACUGAGGUGCGAAAGCGUGGGGAGCAAACAGG
rnacentral:rRNA from 1 species